CUCCUGUUACGUAUACUGAAGGUAUACCGGAUAGCAUUCAAAUUUCACUCAGGAUACAUUCAGUAUACGUACAGGUA
rfam:Asian citrus Psyllid, Diaphorina citri - Florida Strain, whole genome shotgun sequence.